UGGUGCAUGGUUGUCGUCAGCUCGUGUCGUGAGAUGUUGGGUUAAGUCCCGCAACGAGCGCAACCCCUGUUCAUAGUAGCCAGCAGUGAGAUGGGGACUCUAUGGAGACAGCCGGAGACAAUCCGGAGGAAGGCGGGGAUGACGUCAAAUCAUCAUGCCCCUUAUGGCUUGGGCUACACACGUGCUACAAUGGUGGUAACAAAGGGAGGCGAGCCGGUGACGGUAAGCGAACCCCAGAAAAGCCAUCUCAGUUCGGAUUGCAGCCUGCAACUCGGCUGCAUGAAGCUGGAAUCGCUAGUAAUCGCAGAUCAGAAUGCUGCGGUGAAUACGUUCCCGGGUCUUGUACACACCGCCCGUCACACCAUGGGAGUUGGAAAUGCCCGAAGUCAGUGACCGAACCGAAAGGAAGGAGCUGCCGAAGGUGGAGCCGAUGACUGGGGUGAAGUCGUAACAAGGUAGCCGUAUCGGAAGGUGCGGUUGGAUCACCUCCU
rnacentral:rRNA from 1 species